CUGUAGCUCCUCGACCCUUGGUCCAACGACCAUCUACCCUGAUAAAUCUCAUGCGUCGAAGAGAGUGAUCAUUGUAGGUGUCAGUGUUCGAUAAUCUGCAAACAACUUCUCCCUCAAGGCUCACUCCAGACUCCCUAAAUAUCAUUGUAAGAGCCAUACCAUAGGGCAAGAGAGCCUUAGAUCUAUUCAAGGCCUCCCUCAUGGAAUCAAUCAUUAAAAAUGGUAGAUUUAGUG
rnacentral:lncRNA from 1 species